rnacentral:rRNA from 1 species
CUGCUGCCUCCCGUAGGAGUCUGGGCCGUGUCUCAGUCCCAAUGUGGCCGUUCACCCUCUCAGGCCGGCUACUGAUCGUUGCCUUGGUGGGCUUUUACCUCACCAACUAGCUAAUCAGACGCGGAACCAUCGUAUACCACCGGAGUUUUUCACACUGCUUCAUGCGAAGCUGUGCGCUUAUGCGGUAUUAGCACCUAUUUCUAAGUGUUAUCCCCCAGUAUACGGCAGGUUUUCCACGCGUUACUCACCCGUCCG